GAGUUUGAUCGUGGCUCAGGAUGAACGCUGGCGGCGUGCCUAACACAUGCAAGUCGAGCGAUUCUCUUCGGAGAAGAGCGGCGGACGGGUGAGUAACGCGUGGGUAACCUGCCCUGUACACACGGAUAACAUACCGAAAGGUAUGCUAAUACGAGAUAAUAUGCUUUUAUCGCAUGAUAGAAGUAUCAAAGCUUUUGCGGUACAGGAUGGACCCGCGUCUGAUUAGCUAGUUGGUAAGGUAACGGCUUACCAAGGCGACGAUCAGUAGCCGACCUGAGAGGGUGAUCGGCCACAUUGGAACUGAGACACGGCCCAAACUCCUACGGGAGGCAGCAGUAGGGAAUCUUCCACAAUGGACGAAAGUCUGAUGGAGCAACGCCGCGUGAGUGAA
rnacentral:rRNA from 1 species